rnacentral:rRNA from 1 species
CAGUAGCCACGGGAAUACGAAGGGGGCUAGCGUUGUUCGGAUUUACUGGGCGUAAAGCGCACGUAGGCGGACUUUUAAGUCAGGGGUGAAAUCCCAAGGCUCAACCUUGGAACUGCCUUUGAUACUGUUAGUCUUGAGUUCGAGAGAGGUGAGUGGAACUGCGAGUGUAGAAGUGAAAUUCGUAGAUAUUCGCAAGAACACCAGUGGCGAAGGCGGCUCACUGGCUCGAAACUGACGCUGAGGCACGAAAGCGUGGGGAGCAAACAGGAUUAGAUACCCCAGUAGUCCCUGUCUCUUAUAC